rnacentral:rRNA from 1 species
GACGUAGGGGGCAAGCGUUGUCCGGAAUUAUUGGGCGUAAAGAGCUCGUAGGCGGUCUGUCGCGUCGGCUGUGAAAACCCGGAGCUCAACUCCGGGCCUGCAGUCGAUACGGGCAGACUGGAGUUCGGCAGGGGAGACUGGAAUUCCCAGUGUAGAGGUGAAAUUCGUAGAUAUUGGGAAGAACACCGGUGGCGAAGGCGGCUAUCUGGACCGUAACUGACGCUGAGGCGCGAAAGCGUGGGGAGCAAACAGG